rnacentral:rRNA from 1 species
UACGGGGGGAGCAAGCGUUGUUCGGAUUUACUGGGCGUAAAGGGCGCGUAGGCGGCGCAACAAGUCACUUGUGAAAUCUCCGGGCUUAACCCGGAGCGGCCAAGUGAUACUGUCGUGCUAGAGUGCGGAAGGGGCUACUGGAAUUCUCGGUGGUAGCGGUGGAAAUGCGUAGAUAUCGAGAGGAACACCUGCGGCGAAGGCGGGUAGCUGGGCCGACACUGACGCUGAAGCGCGAAAGCGUGGGGAGCGAACAGG